rnacentral:rRNA from 1 species
GAUGAACGCUGGCGGCGUGCCUAACACAUGCAAGUCGAGCGGCAGCGAAGGGUGCUUGCACCCUGUCGGCGAGCGGCGGACGGCUGAGUAACGCGUGGGAACGUGCCCCAAAGUGAGGAAUAACUGCCCGAAAGGGUAGCUAAUACCGCAUAUUAUCUUCGGAUCAAAGGAUUUAUCCGCUUUGGGAGCGGCCCGCGUCGGAUUAGGUAGUUGGUGAGGUAAUGGCUCACCAAGCCGACGAUCCGUAGCUGGUCUGAGAGGAUGACCAGCCAGACUGGAACUGAGACACGGUCCAGACUCCUACGGGAGGCAGCAGUGAGGAAUCUUCCACAAUGGGCGAAAGCCUGAUGGAGCAACGCCGCGUGCA